GGGGACUUAGCUCAGUUGGUAGAGCACCUGCUUUGCAAGCAGGGGGUCAGGGGUUCGACCCCCCCUAGUCUCCA
rnacentral:tRNA from 1 species